AGUACCUGGUCAGCAACAAGCCAAGGAGCCGCCUCUGAAAACCAUUCCGGGCCGAGUCCAAUGAUCGGCCCAGAAACAAAGCGGGCUCCUCCGCCGCUCUGAGCCACCGCAUCCUGGCCGGGCACCUCCGCUCUAGCCCCGCUCAGCGGAAGGUCGUCGUGGCCGGCUCCGGCGGCGCUGGCCUUGCCUUCGCACACCACCUCACCCAACCACUCCACAAUUGCUUGCUUCCCUCUUCGAUUUCGGCCAUUUAUGAAGUUAUGAGGCUAACCCAAGAGAAAGGAGUGGCUUUGUCUCCGUCUCGGGUGCUUCAGGGGUUUCGAUGUAACAGUUCCUGAUGCGGGGAGCUACCCUGCGGUGGAAAUAGGAAAAAUUCAUCUAUUCUCAUCUGAAAAUCAUUCUAGGUUCGAGUUCCGCCUUUAAGCGUCUGAACUUGCAACCUCCAUCCCCGUCCUUUCUUGCCAUCGCGAAGCAUUCAUGCCGCUGGCCGCACCAGGCGCGAGAAGCUUGCUUAAUUGGUCGCAUUGCACCUGAAAACUUCAUCAAGGUGCGCAUCUUUUGGAUGAGACGAAAACUUAGUUCUCUUGAGUUCGAUCCUAUUCAAGAACCUACCAACUGUCGCAUUUAAUAUCAAUGCUAAGAAUCUGUUUGACAUUUAUUGGGUCUAGUUUUUCUAUUAAAUGCCCGUUUUCUUAUUCACCGCUGAUAAGAACUAUAAUAAUUCGGAUUAGCCAAUAUACUUGUGAACACCACUGAAAUGAUAUAUAGCCUUCCACAGUUCGAGCUUCCAGUAUUUCAGGGUCCACCUCAACUUCCAGCGCCCUUCAGUGCAUUAUUGUACCCCACAAUUACAUGACAUCUUAGGGUCAAUCGUCUGCCAGCAGUUCCUCUUAUUGGUCCCCGUAUCGACAUUCUCGGCAAUGUUUUGACCACAUUGUUUCCAAAUGUGCAUAUUUUAUUCACUUAAAGUUUUCAUUCUAUUCAAGAAAUUGUUUUUGGCUGGUCUUGUCGUGAUCUGUGCUUUGAAUGUGCGGCAAUUGACCUUGACAACACAGAAAUUUCUUGGGGGAAGUAUGAUCCAAGUGAGAGAUCGAACUAGCUGAAAGGAAGAUAAAAUUUUAUGCUGACUAUGAGCAUGAUUUAUGUAGCUGAUGACCCAUCGUACAAGAGAAAUCUUGCUAGUCAUAAUCAGAAAUCUCAGAUCACAGUGACUGCGAGGUAGCUUUCUAAAGAGUUCGGCUGCUCUGGGAAUUUUUGGUCUAACGGUGCGGAUUGCACGACAAAUUCGUAUUGCAUUAACGUAUUCUAUAUGAAUUAUGGAAUAUAUUCUGGGAUAUUAUACAUCAUUUUCCUGUUUUUCCCUGAUUUCACAAAAUAGCGAAACUUUGAUAUAUCAUGGUGUCGUCGAUCAGUAAAAGAGAGGAUUUUUAUUCCAUAGGCGGAGCCUAUGAAAUCGGAAGGAUGUUGAUUUGAUGAACUCCAUAAAUUAUGAUAAAACUUUGAUCCAUUUCUGGAGUAGUUUGUGGAGAGGAUGCUAAUCAAGUUGACGGAAUAGUAUUAGCUGCUGAUAUUUGUACACUUCAAUCAGUUGUUACAAGUUCGUAAUGAUUGACGGAAUGAUAUCCCCUUGUCUUCGCUCGCCCUCUUCUACUAAUCCAAGUGAAUACACGAUAGAUACUUCCUGCUUAAACAUCUGGUAACCCGUCCCAAAUUUUUGAUAAUCACUGUCAACGUUAAGAAACAUGUUGUUUUUACCAUGAAAAUAGGCCAGCCCUGCAAAGAAAGGAGGAAUUAUUAAUGAGAUGAAACUUUCUUCGCGUGGUCCAGUCUGUCAAACCAUGGACGGAUUGAAAGGUGGGUAUAGAUUGCUAUCUUUCUAAAAAUUGAGUAAUACUGGGCUUUGACUUAGUUGUAAAAUCAUGGGUCUAGGUCCAUAUCUGAAAGGCUUGCAAGAUUUUCAGUGGCCAUUAGGGGAUUUAACGGCAGCAUGGAUAUUCUUUGACAUGAAUGUCAUUUUCGAUGAAUAUGUGGAUGAACCUUCAACAGUCGUCAAGACUGAUUAUAUGAGUCGAUUGCACUUUGUUAGUUCUUUUUCUUGUGAUGAAUAAAUCGCCAUGCUUCGUAAAAACUUUUUAGCUAUCUUUUUCAGCCAUCUAAAUUGGUAAUAUUCUAAUAUUUUGAUCGCUGCGGUAUGAUGCUAAUCAACCGUUGCUCCUAAGAGAUGAGAAAAUCAUGAAUAAGGUAAUUAGCUUAUCUUUCCAACUGCUUGAAAGAAUUCCCCGCUGUGUACCCCCACUAAUUCCCAGGUGAUUCCUGAGGCCACCGAAAAUAAGAUCUUGCCUUUUUAUAGAUUAUUUAUGCCGUUGAAAUGAAAAUCUUAUUGGAUAUAAAUUGCGAUUGGAUAUUGAAUAUAAAUCACUCUCUAGGAGGCUAGAGAGAAAUAGGGAUGGACCAUUAGUUGCCAGUUCAACCCUUUGACAGAAAAAUUCUUGCUAACUGAACCACGUAUUCUUCAUAUUGCCUCAGUCGUGUUAAUCGAAAAUCUGCUGUGAAGUAGUGACGGCUUUGUUUAAGAAGGUUCUUGACGGCCAACCUUUCAAUUUUCUCUGAUUAUGAUUAUACCGCUGCGCUUUCAUCAAAUCUUACUUCCGCUAGACCGUAGCGGUCCAGUAAGUUGGUAUCCUAAAACGGAUCGAGGAGCUUAAAUGAAGAAAAUCCUCUGUAGCCAUACACUUGAAUAGAUCGUAUUUGUUGUUCCUAUCUAUAGGAAUGUAGAGUUAAAGCUUCUUGAUUAUUUAAACCAUCGUUUCUUUUGACUUGCUGAGACGCCUUUCUUUUUCCAUUUUAGGCUAUUUUAUCUCCGCAAUCAUCAGUUCUUCCAUGGACUCACUACGAUGUGAUUCAUAAAAACUUCUGUCUCAACCUUGGCAUUGAUUUUGUGCUACCCCUUGUAUAUUUUCCCAUUCGGAUGCCUGCCUGCUUUUUUUUGGUUUCUCUCUCCAUGUAGAACUAGUUUAUUUUUCGAUAAAAUACUGCUGUUUCUCCCCUCCUUUUAUUAUAAAAUAUUCAUAUUUUUUCGUUCCAAAUUUUAUUUUUAUUUGACGCCAUGCAUUCCCUCUCUUCCAAUUGUGGCUUACAUUCAAUCAAAAUCUGAUCUUUACUUCCACGUGUAGGCUCAUCCAAACACACGACGAGAGGAGCAACUUCUUUUCCAGACUUGUUCAUGGCUGGAGACUGGAUGGUGACCCGUAUAAUGGAAUCCUGGUCAUAGGUGGACUAAUUAAGAUCUCGUGGCAGUCUUUGGCGUCCACUCCAGGGAGCCAUGCUUCUUCGGCAAGAGUCGUCAUCUGAGGAAAAGUUGGGGAGGGUUCCUGAAAAUCGGAAACAGCUGAGGAUGCUCCUUUACGCCAUUACAGAAGGCCCUCGAUUCAGUAUCUUCGCCUUUAUAAGAUCAUGGGCUGCGGCCGUUCAAUGAGAUUGGGAACGGCUUGGGAUGCCUCUUACCCAUUAUAGAAGGCAAUAUUUUCCUUAAUGGAGGAACAGGAAAUCGCAAUCUCAUUGAACGGCCGAAAUGUAAUCUGAAAUUUCCAUCGCCCGCAUCUCCCUUCUGCAGGAUGAAGCUGUCAGCGGAGGGGGGCUUGAAGCAAUGCGGGGCGGCGACAGGAGGAUCAGCUGGACGAGGGCUCAGCUCCCCUUCUCUGUGCUCAAUCUUUCUUUCUUUCUCUUUCCUUGACGGGUUCACGUCCGAGACGAUGAAUCUCAAGAUGCAGUCAGAAAGGGCCAGUCUGAGGAAUCUGUAGAGGAAGAGUUAUGAACCUCGGUGAUGUUCUAACAAGGCGUAGGAGGCUUCUGAACUCCGGAACGGAUGAGCUCCGCGGUAGGGAGCGGCCAUUAUGGCAGAUCUAAUCCCUGCUUGAGUUGGUGGAUGGGCGAGGUGCAGGAACAGACCAAAGAAGGGAAGGAACGAUGAAUCCCACGUUUAAGGCCCAUUCAGUGGUGGCGAAGUUCAUUUAAAGCGUUGGCUGGAAGGGCUUAUUCCCCCCUCUCAGUCAAUAUCUCACACUGACCGGAAUCUGACGAUAACCGGCCACCGUG
rnacentral:lncRNA from 1 species